GUGCCAGCCGCCGCGGUAAUACGGAGGGUGCAAGCGUUGUUCGGAAUUAUUGGGCGUAAAGCGCGUGUAGGCGGCUACCUAAGUCUGGUGUGAAAGCCCGGGGCUUAACCCCGGAAGUGCACUGGAUACUGGGUAGCUAGAGGACGGGAGAGGAGAGCGGAAUUCAUGGUGUAGGGGUGAAAUCCGUAGAUAUCAUGAGGAACAUCCGUGGCGAAGGCGGCUCUCUGGCCCGUAACUGACGCUGAGACGCGAAAGCGUGGGGAGCAAACAGGAUUAGAUACCCCGGUAGUCC
rnacentral:rRNA from 1 species